AACUUCCCAUAUUUUUUUUAUAUUUAAAAACUCUGCCAACCUCUGUCUUCAGAGACAGACACAGACUCUGCUUCAGACAUUUCCUAUGCUGUAUGUGCUAUGUACUACCGAGCUGAAAAUGAACCUCCUCAUGUUCUCAAGAGGCAUAUGGAAAUACUUACCUUUGUCCACUGAGUGGCUUCUGUCAGUGCCUCUCUGUAUCUCAACUCGUAUUCUGUAGGAGUUGUAGCUGGCAUGAGCAUAGUUCACUGCUAUCCAGAUAGAUGCAGAACGGUUCAUGAAGAGAUUUUUUCGUUCUAUUGUGAUGGAAGGUGAUGAAGUGUUUCUUCUAAAAAGCUUUGUGAUUCUCUC